rnacentral:rRNA from 1 species
AGUGAACGCUGGCGGUAGGCCUAACACAUGCAAGUCGAACGGCAGCACAGGAGAGCUUGCUCUCUGGGUGGCGAGUGGCGGACGGGUGAGGAAUACAUCGGAAUCUACUCUGUCGUGGGGGAUAACGUAGGGAAACUUACGCUAAUACCGCAUACGACCUACGGGUGAAAGCAGGGGAUCUUCGGACCUUGCGCGAUUGAAUGAGCCGAUGUCGGAUUAGCUAGUUGGCGGGGUAAAGGCCCACCAAGGCGACGAUCCGUAGCUGGUCUGAGAGGAUGUUCAGCCACACUGGAACUGAGACACGUUCGAGACUCCUACGGGAGGCAGCAGUGGGGAGUAUUGGACCAUGGGCGCAAGCCUGGUCCAGCCAGACCGCGUGGGUGAAGAAGGCCUUCGGGUUGUAAAGCCCGUUUGUUGGGAAAGAAAUCCAGCUGGCUAAUACCCGGUUGGGAUGACGGUACCCAAAGAAUAAGCACCGGCUAACUUCGUGCCAGCCGCCGCCGUAA